CCAGGCUCCCAUGAGCCGCGGCGAAUGUCGAGAUAACGCAAGGUGGAUGAUGAUGUAGCAAUCUAGUUUCUAAUGAUUAUAUAUUUGAUCCACAGAAAUAUUUUCAUUCUUAACGUUUUAAUUGAUGGAUGGGGGAAUCUUAUCGCGUACUUAUUGCUACCCGAUAACGGUGGUUUUUGCUGUGGAUAAAUCAAGAAAAUGACUGAAUAAUUCGACCAAUCGAUAAAAUUCUUUCAAAUAUACGACCCUGAACGGAA